CAGUGAGAUCCCUGUAACCAUCGGCUCGGGCAGUCAAGGAACAGUGAAGCUGAAAACUGCUGGAGAAGCUAUGGAAGUUGUGCUCCGCUCCUGCAGCCGUUUUGGUGGGGGUCUGCUGCAGGCCUGGCCGCAGUGGGGGCAAUGGACAUUUAUCCCGGUUUCCAGGCAUCACUCGCUACUGGCAAUAUGUUGUUUUAUCCAGACUCACUUCUUUCUCUAGAGGUCACUGGCACUGCUGCUGAUGCACAAUGUUAUAUUACUCUAGGCAGCUGGUUGACUUUACUGACCUCAGCAAUUAAGAAAGAAGACUUUAAUGUGGGCGAGUCAAGAGGGAAUAUGACCUGAAAGCUUCUGAAAUGGGAGAACUAUGGGACCACCCCACAAGAGAGAGAUAAUACUGGGUCUCCAUAGGCCCCAUCAAGCUUUCCUGAGGAACAAGGUUUGGCUGGAUCCAUGGGCAGGUGUCUUGCUCCUUCCCACUCGGGUUACCCUGUGGGUCCCAGUGGUCUUGCAGCCAGCACAGGGCCAUAGCACCUGAGGCAGGCUUCAAGCUACAUGUGGCUGCAUUUCUGAAAGUGACACACAUACCCGUGGUCACAAAGUACAGGUGACUUCCUUGGGAUGCUGCACACUGUAAUACUUGAGUGCACUCCAAGCAGGCAGUACAAUCUUAUGGUUAGAAUAGGUCUAUGGCACCUAUUGGACUAUCAACUUUGAUUCGAUAGUAAAGCUCUGUAAAAACUUGGUAUGGAUGUGAUGCUAGUGUGAACUACAAAAGCGGUAUUAACCCAGUUGCUUCACCAGCUACAGAGCAAAUAAUCCCAGCACAGGACUGUUUCUCCAAGGGGAAAUUACCAGUGUGUCAGUGAAAAAAUGUAGGAGGGGGCCAAACGUACCAUUGUAUACAGAUAAGCCCCUUCCUCCCCCUUCUUACUCCAAAUAAGAAUGGUUGUCAGAUUUACGGCGUUGCUCCUUUCCUUCUCUUGCUCCAUCACUUUACUCUUUCCCUCUCCUGCCCUUUCAGGGUGGCUGACAACAUAACUUCCUAAGAUAUAUUGGUUGCAGGUAUGAUGCUGAGAUGGGAUUUUUGUUUCUUCAUCCUUUCGGUAAGGGAAGCUGAACAGACUCAUAUAGAUGGAUGGGUGAAGUGAAGUAGAAUAUCACUGAAUAAUCUUCAACCUUGAAUGAGGAAAAUGAGGUACAGGAUGCCUAAUGUUUCAUUGACAUCUAUGAAAAGAGGCAUGAAAACAUCCAAACCUCUCUGUGGGGAAGAAAGUUAAGGUGACCACGUGCCAACAGACAGCUGCGGUGAGAAGCGUGGCCCCGGCAGCUGGCAGGACAGCAGGCACCCCGCUGACCUCCCCUGGGGCGGGCACAGGGAGGGUCCAUGCCUAGUGUGGGCAGGAGAAGCGAAGCGUGUUUGGUGAGUUCCCAGUGCAAUGCCUCCCCUCCAUUUCCGUGCAGGAGGUAACACUGACGUAAAAGAAAAAAAAAAUUGUGUAAAAUGGGUAACAUACAACUCCAGUGUUCUUAAUUUCUGUAGUAGUUUCAUGAUUAUGUUUCUAAAAGAAAGGAUGCAUUUUUAUUUUCAUAAUUAACAGGAAGUACAUGUUAUACAUUAAAUGUGACACAAGAGAGAUGAAUUAUGCAGUAAACUCUGUGUGUGCUGAUCAGCCCAAAACCCAAGGCACAUACAGCAGAGUUUCUGUGAAGAUCUGUAAUGAGUUUCAAGUACAUAAUUUCCUGAUGGAGGGUAAGAAAACAUCCAUCAAUGCUAAUUUUCCCACAGUUUUUUGCUUUUUAUGAAUACUUUACAGCAUACAAAAAAGAGGAAUUUCUAAAGUGCAACUUGAGGAAACUCUCGUAGUAAUUAGAGAGUAUUGCUUGCCAAAACUAAUGAAGUCUGAACCUGAAAUGUGGGGAUGGUUCAAAGUUGACAGCCCGAGCCUCUCAUUUCUUCCAAAACGUUAAAUCGAUUCCCCAAAUCUGACCACGGGUAUUUUGUUUCUAGUUGAACUCUAAACCAGGGCUGUCACUGUGCCUUCAAAAAGCUAGAAUUUAGGUGUUAGGCUCAUUUUGGAUUCUGUAGUAGUGUUGCACAGGAUUAUGUGGUCUGAAAGAGCAAUCUCAAACGAGAUUGGGGCAUCUCUAUACCAAGCUUGAAGGCUCUGUGAAGUAAUGCUGGCUUUGUAGCGGGGCACAUGAUCGCAGACACUGGUUUAUUUUUUCCUAAAGCUUCUGUCAGGCUGUUGCAACAAAGACAUUCUGACAUUUUAGGAGUGAGAAUGGCAAGGAGACAGUGGCAACUUUUCUAGUUAGACAGUUGUCCAUUUUAUAUUGAGAUCUAUUUGCUUGAUUACAGACUUCAAAGAACCCAAAGGUAAUAUCUGUGAAUAUUUUUCCAGCUAGUGUAUGUUGCUUAUUCAGUGAGGAAACAUCAAGUAUAUCCCAUGUUUAUAUAAUAAUCUAUAUUAAAUAUGUAGUAUAAAUAUAAGCAUCAAUAUAUUAAAUAUAAAAAUUAUACCUGCUAUGCCAAGGUCCUUAUCCCUGCAAGAUUCUAGGGAUUGGAGAGAAUUUAGAGGUAGUCAGGCCAAGAGCUGUGAAGAGCUUUCAAUGUGAAACACUAAACCAGUGUGUUUGGAGGGUAAAACUGUUUAGCAAAACUCACCCUUACUGGAAGCAUCAGGUUGUUACUUGACUGUAUCUCUCUUUAGCUUGUGUCCCUCAGUUAUGUUAAAUGAAAGCUCUCUCAGAGGAGAUCACUACUCUUAUUCAGUCAUAAUUUAAGAUGUUUUUUUAAGAUAGAUUUUAAAAUUGAUGUUCAGAUUUCUUUCCAGCACCUCUCACCUGAACCACAAGGCUUUUCUAUAUCCACAGAGUAGAUCUUAUUUGAUGAAACACAAAAUCAAAAGCCAUGACCUGAAAGAUCAUCAAAUGUAUGGCCUGAAAGCUGGAGGCUGAACAGCAACAGAUAAAAUAACUUCAGAUAUAUGUAUUCAGUCAAGACACAGAAACAAUUCCAUGGGAAUGGAUGACCAAGUUAUGAAAAGUAAAUAAUCACUGUAAAUUACUCUGGGUUUCUACAAAGAAAUUAUGUCCUGAAGUUUUUUCACUCCAUACUCUGAGAUGACUGUGAAUAGUCAGAGAAAGCAGGGUUGAUUUGAUCUGCUACCUCACAAUCUUGGAAAAUGUAUGUUUGUGAGGGGAUCAUGGUGAGGGGUUGAUCCCUUUGAACUGCUGAAACCUGAUGACUCACAAUCAAUAGUCUGUGAAACAAUCAGGUCAGCAAUGCGAAGAUUCAGAUUUUCUGCCUCUAAAUGCAGAUUGCUGUGCUGGGCCACUGAGCAACUUGCAAAUUGAUCAAGAACAUUCACGAACCCAGUCAUCAGAUCAGCUUUUCCAAUGAAGAUAUUGAAAAGAUUUGCAAGGGGUGCAUGUGCAGAAUUGUGAAAUCAGACCUGGAUCCUUGGAACUGCUUUUUGGCUCUCGAGAAAGAUACUGGAAGUGGGAGGACAGGAGUAUGCGUUUCUGAAGAUGGGCUUUGUAACUCCGAAGUGAUGGACUUCCGACGGACAGAGACGAUCCAUGGAAAAGCAGUGAGAUGCCUCCAGCUCUGUCACAUGUGUCCAGGUCUACUUCCACACUGUCUCCUUUGAAUAAAUCCAUGUUGUCAUUCUGCAAACUUGUACCAAGAGAGGAAAUGGGAAAGGCUGUGCACCACGGGCAUCCCCCUCCUCCUGUGCAGCUCUGGUUCCCAGGGAUUUAAGAGAUGGGCGUUAGGGGAGAAGCACUACACAAGAACAGAGCCUCAGAAGAUUCUACAGGUCAGCCAGUCCUGCCUUCAGCAGCCCGGCUCGAGACCCCCUUGCCCAUAUCGCCAUGCCCUGCCUCCCUCCUGUGACCUUACAGAGACGCUGUACAUCGCCCAGCAGCCAUGCUUCUGCACGGAGCUGAAGCAGCAGGGCUUGGUGUUGUGCCGGGCUUUGUUCCGCAGAGUUCUCUCUCUUUAAACCAUGUGUUGAAUUAUAACGGUGUAAGUAGGAGGAAAACUAAAACAUAUUUCACUGAGUUCUAGAAAAGCUCUGAAUGGAUGUAAUUUUUAUCAAGGUUUUAUGGGCCCUAUCCAAACACCAAACAAUUCUGCUGUACCAUCAUAUUUGAAGUGAGCUGUUGUAUUACAUAUCUAGAGGUGGCUACAGCAAUGGCAGUGCACACGGUUUGUAGCCCCUGUCUCAGGAUUCAAGGCUGAUGUGCAGUGAUGAGGUUUUGGGUGAUGGGAGGAAGGAUUGCUAAGGUUAGAGCUGGACAUCUGGUUUUCAGAGGUAUGAUGGGCUAUUUCUAGGGAGUUUCAAAAGUGCUCAGGAUAGAGCUCUUGGGAUUCAGGAAGCAGCAGCACAAAGUGCUCCUGUGUUUUUCUGAUGCAACUGAAGUUAAUGAGAGUUUUACAAGCUGGUCUUGCUGGUCAGAUUAGGGCAGACAUUCUCCCAAAAAGGCUGUUCACAGUUGCACCUCUCUUCUGUUAAUGAGGUGGGGGUUCAUGGCUAGAAAGCUGAGCUAAGCAGCAUGAGAAGUGUGGUGUGUUAGUGGUGGGCCGGAGUGCAAAGGAUAUCCCUGGCUUGGCUCGCAGCGCCGUGUUGUACCUGGCCUUGGUUACGUUACUGAAUCUCUGCGGGAUGUAGCUCUCUCUUGGAAAAUGGGAAUAAGUGGUAUUUUCCUACCACACAGCAGUACUAUGACGAGCUGGUAGCUCAGGUGGCUUGUAUAUGUGCAAAUGUACUAAACUGCUCAGCAAGCUCCACUAGCUAAUUAGUUUUUGGACCUGAGUUUAUCUGGUGCGACUAACUAAAUUCCACUGUAGCAAUUGCAAUGGAUCCAAUUUCUGGACCUUCUUUAACUUUGCAAGUUUGUGGAAGAGAACUUUCCUCUUAUAUAUACCACACUUGGCAGCACUUUCAUCAGGAAAGGAACUGAACGGCCAGGAUUUCCGCCAAAUUGGGCUGAAUGUAUGUGGAAGAGAUUGUGAGAUUUUUGCUGUCUUCAGAUUAGAAAUGCAGGUUAGCCUACGUUUGUAUUUGAACCGGAUGUUAGUUCAACUCUUAGCUUCACAUACUGCAAUUUUGACUUUUCUUAGUCAAAAAAUACAGAUAAAGCAACACAGAAUCAGGAGGAACUGGCCUCGUUUGUGGCACAAAAUGCCCUGAUGCUAGAGAAGUGAGGGAGCCCAAGGGGCUAGCUCAUGGUGUUCGUUCUCGCUCAGCUACAGUGAAGGCAGGUUAAGGAUAAAUUACUCAGUGAGCAAAUGUCUUCUUUUCCCUGUGACUCCACCUCCUUCGGGCAUCCUGCCCUGUCCCCACCCCUUGCACUUGUCUGCAUGUCUUAAUGACAGUAUUCAUGCAGCUGGUAAUUUAUGUGCCUGAUUUACCCAGAGCCUUCCCUUCAGUUAUUCAUAAAAUUUGAGAUGCAGUACGUAUGUGAUUCGUUAGGCUCCAAACUCCAGCUUAAAAAAAAAUCACAAAUGUCUUAAGGGCUGGGCUCGAGCUAGAGAAAUCUUAAAAGGAAUAAUUUCAGCUAGCAGUUAGCUGUUAGGUCCUCACUUUACACCUAGUUACAAAAGUUUGCCCUCAAAAUAAAUACAAUGCAUAUUGUAACAUAAGCACACAGCCGUUCGGCUUCGACCGAGGCAGUUUGAUGUUCUGCUCUGGACGACAGACAGAGCUGAUCCAGUUACCGAAACCUACUUGAUUUCAGUUGGUGUCUCAUGUCAUAAACAUGAAUUGUUAAUUUCAUAUUACUCAUAACAGGCGCACUGUGAAUGUUUGCGGGGUUUAUAGGGUAUCAGUUACAAAUGUGAUUAUACCAGCCAUUCCUCAGGACUGACACCAGUUUCAAAUUAGAAGCUGACAAGCCUCACCUGCUCCGGAGUUCACUGGCAGGUCACCUUCUUGUCAUUUUGGCUGUCCCCCCAUCAAAAUGACAUCUGUGCUCAUGAAGGGCCAGUGAGGGACUCGAAGUUGUUAGGAUUGUUGCAGAAUAAGAAUAAGGUGUCAUCUAGUCCAAUAAUGUGCUCAGCUUUGGCCUUUCAGAUGGCUUGGUGCUUGCAGCACCUGGCAAUGUUUCCAGAUACAAGAAUAGCUGGCUCGGCGGGUCAGCAGUUGUUCGCUCUUCCACCCAUGGAUGCUAGGCAUUCAGCUCAACCCUCGCCACAGCCUAUAGGCAAUUCCAGAGACUUGAGCAAAGAGCUUGUAAAAUGCCUUUACUUUUCUACAUAUAGGAACGGGACAUCAGGCAAACAAACGCUCCUUUCAGAGGCUGUUGCUACACAUUCGUAUUUUUAAACAAAUGAUGUGUGAAAGACAAAAGGUAAGUAUCAUCCAACAAACACUGGAUAAAAAGAAUUUGAACUUUUCCAAUUUGUUGGACAUUUCCUUGAUUUAUUUACAUGCCAUUUAUGCAGAUGCAAACCAUAAUGUUGUCUGGAAAUGUCUUGACUCUUGAGAACCUAUUUCUUAAUAAUAGAAGAUUCUUCAUAUUCACCUAGUUAAUCUAAUGCAGUCGAGCUAGGUCAGCCCGAUGCCUAUGUGCUGACACUUCUCAAAACUAGGAAAACGCACGUGCAUCUUCAAAUACAGACUUUGAGAUUAGCUUUUAUUUCUGUCAUUAAACAAAUGGAAACAUCAGCUCCAAACAAUGUCAGACUUUGCAGGUUAAAGAUUUGGGCUCCCCUAGGUUUCCAGUUUAAUAAACACUCAUCUAAUGUAUGUGUGCCACUUACAGAACAGUUGCACAGCUGUCUCUCCAGGCGUGGGUUUUUCAGGCAGUUAAGUAAAUGUAUGUACAUAAUCCCACUGAAGUUGCCUGGCCCUUACUGCUGUGUGUAGAGAGGAAGGUCUCCGAGUCGUGGGAUGUUACAAGUUCACAUAUACGAGGCUGGUGGGAAAAGAACACAGAUGUAUUCGUGAGAGGGUAGGCAAGGAUAAACAAGACGUUGACUUACACUUUGCCAAAUGAAGGGCUCAGAGCAGCCAAGGAAAAUCUUUUUGUUUUUCCUUCACUAAAUUAGACCUUUAUUUUUGUCUUCGGCACUGUUUGGUAGCAGUAAGGACGUUUAGUUAUCAGUUACCAUAAUUCUCUGAAAUCUGUCCUUGAUUUUAUUUUCUGCUCCAGGAAAUGUUAUAGUAUUGUUAUUUUAUCUGUAUUAAAUAAACCUAAGGCCGGAUUCCUCAUGGUGUAAACAAGCGUGACUUCAGGAAAGCAAUGCUGAUUCAUGCCAUCCGAGCGUCUGAUUCUUAAUAUAAAAGGGAACAUGUUACAAGAGAGUAAACAGAAGCAAACAUUUGUUAUAGAAACUCAUGUUGUCAACAUAGACUCCCCCCACAGCAUUCAGCAGGAAUAAAAAAAAAGCUAAGGUAGAUUUACAGAAGCCUCCACUUUUUUUUUUUUUUUAAUGAUUUGGAUAUUGAUCAUUUUUAAUCUUCUUCUCAGAACAACCAGGAGAUCUAUUAUAGCUUGAGCCAGCCAUGAAAAGCGGGUUCGUUCUUUAACCUGCCCCAAUUCACUUGGACAUAUUUUAUAUCUCCAGGGAUUCAGCCACAAAGUCCAUUAGAGCAUCAGAUGCAGUGAGGUCAAAUCAAUUGUCCAUACUGCAGACAAGGUAACCAUCAUUUACUGUAAUUCUCCCCCGUCAUGGUAGAGGAGAGGAAAGGUUAAAAGCUGUAUUACCAUGAGGCUGUCUCAUCUAUCUUUCAGUAUAUUGGUAAUACCUAAACAUUGCUUAAAGAACUGAAUUUACAAUCUUAAAUCUGUGUUAAACUGGAUUUAAUGGUUAGAUUGCCAAAUCAACAAAUUUGCUAAUGAUUUUUUCUUCAGGGGGAAGCAGAAAAAAAAUGCCGCUUUUAAAACAAAAGGCAAAAACCUUCAAAUAUAUCGUCGUGUCCAGCACAACACAGCUAUACUGAACGUUCAUCUCAGGAUGACCUGAAUGACUGGAUGGGCAAUAAUAAUUGACUGAAGCAAUCACUGCUGUGGGAAAACAAACGUCCUGGCAGUGUCGCAUCUGAAGGUCAAGCCUGAUGACACAGUAAGCACCUGAACUCUCACUGACUCCUGGGGAGGUGGCGGGCACUGAACACCUCCUGGGGCUCGCCUGGCAGGGACAGAUUUACACAGCCACUGGGGCGGGGGGGUGAGGAUGCUUUUUCGCUCCCACCUCCCUUCAUUGGGUCUGCAAAGUCAUUUAUUUCCAUUACAGUACCAUGGCAUCUGUCUGACUCCUGCGCUCCCUGCGUUAACUGCUUGAACAACCAGAAAGAAAAUGCAGCUCUGUGCCAGGGACUGCCUAUUCCUCCUCCUCCGAACAAUCGCACUGUGGCCCUGAUUAAUGUCACAUAAACUGAUGUGCAUGUAGGGGACCUUGCCAACCCUUGCCAUGCAUGUGAGAGCUAUGGCACUGUGGCCUGGUCCUUGUAGGACUCCUCUGUUGAAGUGGAAAGUGAUAAUGAAGCUCAGAUUUAUUCAGCUUGACUUGCCUGUUUGCCUUUUCUAGGUUAAUCUUUUUUCUUUCCCUGGAUUUCUUUAAUCCUGAGCUGUUUUCAUUAAGAAAGUGAUUGAAUGAGGGAGCUAUGGAGAUUUUCCAUAUUCCAGAAAUCUUUUCACAGCUGUAGAAAUUAGAAAAUCUAAUUUUUUGUGUUUCAGAAGCUGAGUUGCUGAGCAAACGUACACAUGUAUUUAGAAUAGGGAUAAAAUAGUAAGAAAUAGAAGAUAGUCAAACACUUAUUCUAGUAUAAGUGUAUCAAAUAUAUUUCUGUGGCUGACAUACAUUCAUGAUAUUGUUUUUGGGAGACAAUAGGAUGAAUUAAGUGGGAAUGUGGGAGCUGGUGUAGGUUACAGAUUAAUACAUAUUUUUAUUAUGAAGUCUAUUUUUAAGGUUUUAGUUAGAGUUUAAUGCCCAGCACAGUAAAUUCCAACUUCAGAUACUGUGGGUAUUCAGUAACUGUAAAAAGAAACUAGUAAAAGUUUUGUGUGUGCUGAAGGAGAGAUAAAUGUGCUUUAGAUUAGGUGUUACAUACCAUUCACUUAAUUGCUUUUCCUCUUCUGCUCCUUCUCUUUAUGCUUUACCUUAACACAGACUCUGUGUGGCUCCUUUUCCUCAGUUUAAAUUACCCAUCAUCUCUGAACUCAUCCCUAUGAAUAUCUGUUCACAGGUCCUUUGCCAGCUCUCACAACAGCGCAGAUUAGCAUUGUUCUAUUGAAUAAAAGUAAUGUCACUAGUAUAAAUAUAUACUGGGAACUCUUUACAAAAUAAAGCCUUAAAAUAGCUAAAGCUUUUGCAUUUUAAUAUAGAAAUUCAGAAAUAAAUAUGGGGAAUGUAAAGCUAAGAAAGAAAUAAAUUCAUCCAAGUCUGGAAAGAAACAAAAUGUUACAAAGAUGUUUUCCUUCAUAAUAGCACAUAAUUAGGACCACAUGCAGCUCGCAUGGUCUGUUGCUUUCCUUGUUCUGGAGUAGCUCUCAGAUAGCUUGCAGCUUAGUAGUACACUCUCUGCUGGUACAUAUUCUGCAGCGCUAAUUCAAAGAGUGAUCCAGUGGGUUAUUUAACUGAAACUGGAGUCUCAAAAAAGAUCAGACAAGCUUUGCUGUUCUUUGGCUUCAACGGAUAUCACAGCUCUGACUGAAAGAGCACUGAACUUAACAGAAAGGCUUUGGAUCUGGAAAACUGCUUACUGAAAUCAAUGAGAGAAAGAGCUCCAACAGUUAACACUUCAUCCUGGCCCUUUUCUCAAUAGGUACGAAUGUUGGCUCUGUAAUGCCUGGUCAUUUUUUUAAGAUCAAUACAACAAACCUAACUCGUGCAACGAAUGCGUGUUGACUAUCUGCUGUGUUGGCAUUACAAGCCAGAUCAGUCUUCUGAGAAAUAAGUAUUUGAUUUAACAAUAAUUUCACCCUGUGCAGCAAACAAAUGUAUUUUUAAGGAAAGCUGUUUAACCAGGAAAAUCACUAAGGAAUUCCUCAAGAGUUAUAUAUAGCUCUUGGUUGACAGACUUUCUUAAAGAACUUCUUUUUCUAUGUCUACAGUAAUUAAAAUAAAAGUUGUCCUUUGAGUAUUUGACUUUGGCAAGAUGUAUUUAGUUUAAUUUUCUCCAAAUGCUAAAGAGGUUGCUACAGUUGUGGGGAAGUAGUUAGGUUUCACGAGUGUGAGAGAGAAUCAGAUUUUCUGAAUUUGCCAUAAGUUAAUAGAUUUUAACAGACCUUUUGGAUUCUCCUGGCCAGUCCGUGGGAGUGCAGCAAUCGUGUGCUUCUUGUGUCUGUCGUUGGUGCUGGAAGCUGAGUUAAUGGCACGAAGCCGGGGUGUGACAUCAGUGUGGGGCUCUGGGGAUGAAAUUCUCCCCUAAGUAACCAAAACCGGCAGUCCUGAUUACAGCAAAUGGUGAGAUUAGACAGAAAUACUCUGACAACAUGCAUGAAACAGGCAGAAAAGGGUGUUUGUGAGCAAGUCUUAACCCGGGCACAGCUUGGGUUAUGUCGCAGCACAACUGUUUCACAUUAAAGACAAAACACAAAAGCUCUAGGAGGAGGUUACCAACAUAAUUUUUUCUUUUGAAAAGUAUCUUGCUCUGUUAAAAUGGAAAUAAUUAUGAAUGAAAGACAUCUUACAUGUCUAUAAAAAUGUUUCCUACAGUGCUGUGGGCCACCAGAGAAGACUGUAAGGCCCCGUCUUCUUUCCUUCUUUUCUUUUUAACAGCAAUAAAUAGGGUGCAAAUUAGUAACUGUAGAUUGGCUGGAGUUUCUUGGCAUUUACAGACAAUUUCAAACUAACAUGGAAAGUUUUUGGAGGUUCUCUUCACAUAAGUAUGCACCUCCACAGAAUGCAUUUGUAGUGAUUCAUUUUUGCCUUGUGCUGAAGUCCCUCGUACUUGCCCCAGUCUACAAUAUAUCAUCCUCCAAUAUGUCACUGGGAAGUCUAAUUUAUAACAGAUUACCCAGUAGUAUUUCCUAUUUGAAUCUCUUGACUUGGUGCUCUCCACUGUCUAAAUCGAGUGAAUCACAGAAGAAAACUGGAGCCCUGAAGCUUUCAUAAGCCUAUUUAAACCUUUUGAGUUUUAAAAAAUGGACGAAAAAUAUAAAAAAUUCAAAUUGUACAUACAGUUUAAUUUCUGCUGAAUUCCUGAUGUUCAAAACAUGAAAAAGGCACAGGUGUUUGUGAUCAGAUGAAAAACAACUAGCUUAAAAGAACACAUAUACAAAUCAAACCUAAGUGAUUAGUUAAACCUUUUGAUAUUUGCUUUGGGAUUAGAUUUUGGGCUGAAAUUUGUUGUGAAAUUUCUACAAAGGCUGAGGGAAGGCAUGGCAGCCAGGGAGGGAAGGUUCUUGCUUUACACAGAUCCCUCUACGUUGCUUCUGAGUUCGUUAUUAACUGCCUUAGAUGGUGAUUAAAAGAUCAAUGUUUAUUUGUCCAGACCAGCAGAACUGGGAGAAAAUGUAUCAAAAUGAAACAUUAACCUGAAAGAUCUCCCAUUUUUCUACAAGUCCACUUUAAACCAAUUUGUCAAGAUCAAUUCAAGGACAAAAUUUACCAAAAUUCUGAAGAACAAAAAAGCAGUAGAAAUAUUUCCAUCCAUUAGAAGAAAAAAAGUCUAUUUGAUUUUGUCCUCAACGUCCUCACUUCUAGCUCUGAGUUCAGCAUUAAUAUAAUCUACUGCUGAAUAAAAAUCUGAAUGAGAAAUUGGCUUUAACAAAAGUGAAUUUAACUAAUUUAUUUUCAUUACUGAAGCUGAAGAAAAUGCAAACUAUGUGACAGGGAAAUGUUAUAUUAUUGGAACAGGAAACACGUAUGUGAAAAAAUGUAAAACAUAGGAAAAAACAAGGAAAUUAGAUGGUUUUUAAAUUAUUUUUUUAACCAUGCAAGAUAUCCCUUUCAGCAUAGCAUGGGAUAUAACAUUAAUCUUAUUUGUCUGUGAUCUAAAAACCUGUAUAUAUUUCCUCAUAGUCAGGACUUUGCUACAUUACCUCAUUUUUACCCACAGAAGCCAAACUGCUAGAAUUUUGGAGACUGCUAGCAAUAAAUUUUUUUCUAUGACAAUUAGUUCAUUACUAAUCUUGACCAUCUCUCCAAUGAACUCAUGAGAAACUUUAAUAUUGAAAAGCACCUCAUAAAUCAUUUACAGUAAACCUGAAGGAAUAUUGAGCAUUUGUAAAUAUGACCUCCUUUUGCAGGAUUUGUGUCUCUUUUAGCUUUUCUUCCUGACCUUUUGCUACAAUUAUCUUUAAAUGUCCAUGAAAGAAGCCAAAGUAAUGGGAACUCAGGUUUGUAGUAAAUAUUAAUCAUCUUACUAGUGGAUAUUCUAUAGCUUGUCCUUUUUUCCACUUCCUCUUACCUGCUUCUUUCAUAACUCACAGAGUCAGACAGACUCUUAAAUACCCUUUAGUUGGAGCCAAUGGGUCUUACAAAUGUAAUUUAUACAGUAGUUGGUGAUUUAAAUGGCAACCCCCCAAAAUUUUGUACUUUAUGAAAAUGUAAAUCUGUCUGGAUCUCAUUAAUGAAGGCUCUUGACCACAGGAGAAACUCCUUUUUUAUUUUUAAAUUUUUUUUAGAACCAUUUAUUUAUUCAUGAGAUUUAGCUCUUCAGAUAAUACUUUGGAAUCAUGGCUUUAUCUGUUAUUUUUUGUCCAGUGAACUCAGCUGAAACCUGACCAGUGGUGACAUGUAGGAUGGUGUCGUGAGAAGACUUCAUGAUGACCACACUCUCAAGACAAACAGUGCAACAGUGCACUCUUUGCAACAGUGCAAACAGUGUAACACAGGAAUUCCAGGGAGUAGUGGAUUUAUCUUGACUGUGAGACUGAGAAACUCCUAAGCAUCUUUUUUUUUUAAAAAAAAUAUUUUUUUAAAUUAUUUUUUUUAAAAGUUUAAAAAGGAUGGCUGCAUAUUAGGGGCAAACCUUUGCCCACCAAUAAAUCUUUGCUACUUUGCUAUUCUGUUCUGAGUGUAUGGAAACCAAAACAUGACAGCUUUGUCUUAGCCAUAAUAUCUAAGAAAUCCUAUGAGAAUGAAGGGUGAAACCAGCUUGCCUCCAUUUGGGAACAGCUGAGGCUAUCUGAUGAUAAACAGCUUGUGUGUUAAUUUGUGGAUAAAGCUAUCCUGAUGCAGAUUGUCAAGUGGGGUCAUAACUUGUGGAGAUAUAAGGUUUCCCUGCAUAAAUUUUGGCAGUUAUUACUUGUUGAAGACCCUAAAUGAGAAUUGACUCAGAAUGGUGGCUAACUUGGUUUUCCAAAAAAGGGUGACAAUGCCUGUGUGAAAGAUUCUAUAGGAGGCUUAUUUUUUAUUUAUUAUAAUUUUGUGAAAUCCAUCAGUGUCUACUCCUUUUCUUUUGAGUUUGGGCUAUCUGAGAAAUUUGGGGUAAAGCAACAUUGGUGGUGUUCCUUUUUCCCUUGUCCUGCUCUAUUUUGCAAUGGCUAUGCAGGUGUGCCUGAGGAUCUGCUAUUGAUACUUCAGAUCUCUCCAGACAUCACUGUUGACAUAUCUGGUAUCUCUUUUUGAGGAAGACAGAUUUCCUUUUAAGGGUUUUUACUUUUUUAAUGGAGAAAAGUUCUGGGAAGCUGCUUCUUCAACCUGAAGGGUCUAACAAGAUUCAAGCCAGAUUCCAUUUUCUUCCCCUCCUUGUUACGUUCAAUGUAUUACAACUGUAUUGAAAGUGUUCAGAAAGAAGGCAUAGUUCACUGUAGUAACUUUAAACUUAGCUCACUGGUUCUGAUUCACAUAUCUGCUAGUCUGGAAAUAAAAAAAAUUAGUGAUGUCUUCUUUUUCAGCUAAGAAUUAGACAUACUUUCUGCCUUGUUUCUACUUCUGAUCUUCUUGGGUGUGUGGAGAGAAUGAGAACCAGAGAAAGACAUCUACAAAGCUCUCAAAAAACAGGGCGAUGUUAUUAGAGAUACUCUUCUCUGUUCUCCACCAGUACACAGAAAAGCUUCUGCUGCGGAGCUGCAGGCCUUGCACUUGCGUUUGCCCUUUCUCAUCCACCUCUGGGAUAAGCACUGCCAUUUUCUGGUUGCUGUGUUGUCACAGCCAGGCCAUGGGGAAGGUGCUGUCCAAGAAAAACAAGUUGGUCACUCUAACAGUGGCCAGCAGGAGUCCAGUUACAGAGACUUCAGAUUCCUGCUGGGGAGGACGCAGGGUCAGGUGCCUGCGGUACUGUAGGAGUUACCAAGCGAGGAGCCAAGAACCGAUGAGGCUCGUCCUGGAGGGCUGAAUGCCCCGCCAGCUGAAUCAUCACACCAGAAUGCUGCUGUUUUAAGAACUAUACUAUACAUACUUCUUUUGCAUUAAAAAGAUAUGCUUAAUACCUAGAGUAUUGCUUGGUCCCAGCAUGUUAUUUGAUGAAAAAGAAACCUGUUGGAACAUGUUCUGUAUUCUGUGUUAUUGCGCUGGGAGGAUUACAGAGACUUUACUAUAUGUCAUUUUACCAUCCUUAUCAGCCAAGGCACAGACUUUUUUGGGUGACUGCUGUGUUUGUUGGCCACAGACCUGUAUGCACCCCAGUUGCUGACUGCGAUCAGACCUUUUACGAACAAAGCAGGAUUUUAUUACCCCUGCCCCGAAAUUCCUUGCUGAUAUCCCAGCUGUGCUUAGCACUUGGCCUUGCAGCAUUUUGCUUGCAUACUGCUGGUGUGCAUCGUCAGGUUUCACUGGGACAUUGUGAGAUGAUGGGGUACUUGGGUGAGCCUUGAAAUUAAGAUCUAGAGUGCUGUGCCUGCUUUCUUUUGCUUUUUUACUCUCUUGAUCACAUUGGCUUCUGGUUUUAAAAUGAUGAUGUAUUUUAGAGCAGUAUUACAAAACUCUGAGGUAAAAUAUAUUUGUAUUAGUGCUAUGUCCAAGGAAAGAUACAAAAUCAUGAGAAUUGUACUGACAGGAAACUUUGUCUCUCUCUAUCUCUUAUUUUUUCUUAUUUUCUUCUUAAGCACCUGCAUUAUUGGGGGACAAUAUGUUAAUCAGACACCUCACAAGCCAGAAUCCUAUGUAGUUUGAUCACUUUAGGGGUAAAAUUUACAAGACUGCCUAGAAAUGCUUAUUGGUCUCUAUGGAUCUGUGCUGAGUUUAUUUAAUACAAAGUGUGAUAUAAAAAGCCCUCUCUGCAGUUAAUUAGCCUCCAGGUUACUGCAGGCUCCAAGGCAUUGUAUUUGAGCUGUCAUUGCUACUUGCAAAGAUCAGCAGUAUUUAAUUCUUGUGUUACACAAAGUAGAUUGCAUGUGCUUAUCUGGCUAGAGUUAAUUCAUUGUUUGUAGGCUUUAAUUUAAUUUUUAAUAUUCUUGGCUAUUAAAGAUGGUUCCAAACAUGAGGAACUUCACUGAGAUUGGACAUGUUACACUGAGGCUGUACCAGUUUCCAUCACAGCCCAACUAAACCUGAAGGUUCCUCCAGAAUUAUGCUGUUGUAACUGGGGGCAAGGUUUGUUUCUGUUACAUUGCAAACCUAAACCAAAUGGAGCUUGUUCAGGCUCCUUUGGGAUAAGGCAGACCUAAGCUCACCAACUAUUCCUUCUUUCUAAGGAGAAAACAUCAGGCUUCCUUCAUUUGAUGAUCCUGUUUUCUCAGAAAACAUUUGCACGCGUUCCCAUACUCAGGUAGCAGUGGCAGGAACUCUUUAGUGGUUAGAGAAGUGGCAGAAGGUUAAAUCAUCUGACUUUGGUGUGAUGUUGAUUGUUUACCCUUAGUGUACAGUAAUAUCUUUAAAAAAUGAAGCGAAGUGGGUGUAUUCAUUACUGGACAAACACAGCUGACAAGUUAAAGAAUACGUGACUCUCUUCAGCUGAGACCAAAGUGCUUCAUUUAUAAUGGAGAUUACGGUAAGAACCAAAUGAAGUUGUCUAAGGGAAAAUGAUGUCUCCUGAGCCUUUGUUUGGGUUUGGCCACAAGUUAAUAACACAACCAGCACUUAACAACAAAAUGCAGGACUGUAUUAUCCUUUAGCAAAUGCCAGUCAUGUGCAAUCCAAACAGGUCAAUUACUAGCAAAUCUCCGAAGAUCUCCUGAAACCUCAGAAGAGUUAGAGAUGCCAAGAAAAUGUCUAGAUGCACAGAGACACAGGAACAGAAAUAGGGCACAAACUAAUUUACAGAAAUGGAACUUAACCCUUAGAGGGAAGAACCCAGCCUGCUACAUAUUCAUUUCCAUUUCAUUAAAUAUUUAUGGAAAGACAUGCAUGUAAUGUGAUUCUAAAUUAUGGAAAAAGCACAAACAGAAUCUGCGCUGUUUCAGUCAUGUUUAAUCUAAUUUUUUCAACCUUUCUGUAUCUUGCAGGUGCAAUGGACAAAUGUGUUUUUUUCAGCCACUAAUAUGCUGGACAUUUGAAAAUUAACACAUUCUCUUGAACGAUUCUAAAUCAGCACACGCACAAAAUACAGCGUAGAGGCCAGCAAUAGCCUAUUCUUCAGCUCAAUACGCAUGCCUAUGACCUAUUAAUAUUAAUGAAACCUGCACGCAAGCAUGUGGGGAUAAUUGACCCCAUUAAAUUCCAUUUACUCAUGAGCUACUUUACUUUGUAAGAUUUGCCCCUUAGUUAUUGUAGUUUUUAUCAAGGAUGAAAGUUGGAACAGCAUGUAUGCUAACAGAAGACUAUUUCAAAAGUAGCUUUGUGGAAGACAAAAAAAAAAAAAGGGAAAAAAAAGGGAAAAGAAAAAAGAAGUAUCCCAAAGAAACAUGUUUUCAUCCAAAAUUUCAAGAGCUAAUGAAAAUAACCUUAUCUUACUUUAAACUUUUAUUGGGACAGGACAUCAAAAUCCUUUAGGAGAUGAAGAACCUCAGCCUGCAUAUAUUUUUACUGUGGAUCUCUACUGAGUAGUCUUUUCAUUUGCAGGACUUCGUAUUGAGCUGGGCAGACAUGGAAGGGUGAGCAAUGUUUCAAACACAGACCUGGAGAUCUGGUUCCAUCAAGAUCAGGUCAGACAAGGCUCUGAGCAACCUGACCUGGUUGAAGAUGUCCUGCUCAUUGCAGAGGGGUUGCGCUAGAGGACCUUUAAGGUACCUUCCAACCCAAAGUAUUCUAUAAUUCUGUGAUGUGAAUUUUUUUUCUUAAAUUCUAGGAAUCUUGUCUUCACUGAGUUUUCCUUCAUGCUGCUUCUGUUUUCUGAGCAAGAAAGGGAGUAAAUGAACAGAGUCAAUCUGUUUUCUUUUUAAUGGCUCAUCUGUAAACACGUAGAUUUCUGACUUAGCUCACUGAGGAGGAUGCACCUAACAUCUCCCCUGAUUAUUGGAGAUUCAAAGUUGUAGACAUCAAUGUAUGAAUCACUUUUUUUUUGUCAAAUAAGUGAUAAAUUCUCCCUGGCAAGGAACGUCUGAUCUUUUUCAGCUGACUUUUUCUUUAAAAGAAUCAUCCUGUGAUGUACAACUGGUUUUGCAAAGUUACACGCAAUCAUAAUCUAACCGCCACAGACAUACAGAGAAAGGAAAAAUGCUAGUGUUAGAACUAGCAUUAGUACUACUGUAGUUGUGCUUUGUAAUAAAUAUUACUCAAAAUAAUUUUCCUAACAGUCAUUUUACUAAUUUUCUUGGUAAUAACCACAAACCAAAUGCCUUUGAACAAAUCUCACAAACAGUGAUAUCAAAUCUUUCCCCAAAGGAGCAUGUGGACUACAUGAGCUGUUGUACUCCUUGUUCUGUAGACACAAUACAAAAAUAGCAUUUUUACCUUCUCAGUGCACCUUCAAAAUCCCCUUCUUCAGGGCACCUGAAGAAGGGUCCAGAAUCAUGCUUGUUGUCCCCAGACCUGAGCUGGGUCUACACAAAGUGCAGUGUCUCCACCAGCCCCAGACUGACGCAAUGCUAGUUGCACCAGACCGGAAUGAAUGAUCUCCAGACAUGAGUUACUGGCACAAUUAAAGCAAGAGCACAGCUGACUGACAUACUGAACAAAAGAGCUUUGGCAAAGCUUACAGUGGAAAAGCGUAUAGAGGAAAUUCACUCUUGGCAUUGAACGCACCCAAGUAAAAGCAGGAUGAACUGCUGAUUAACAAGCUCAGACUCUGCAGACCAAAUACCAAAGGAUGAACAAUAGCAAUAACAUUAUGUUAUGUCUCUCUACAGCAUGCAUGCAAUUUAUCAUGAAGUUGUAUUCCAUAGGCAGCUCCAGCAGUACAUUUUCACAGUCUAAUUGAUGCAUAUGAGAUUUGGAUUGCAGCUUUCAAAAAAAGUCAGAAGUACAAAUAAUUCUGUUCCACCCAAGAAGCAAACCAAAGCCCUGUAAUAUUAGUUAUAACUGCAGUAGGUUUUUAUGACUCCAGCACAGCUAGUUCACUCGGUUAGGCAGACAGUACGCAGUCGUGUCUCAGAGGGGGCAUGUUUAACUGGGCUCCUGGGGCUUCCUCAUAAAGCACAACAUGCCGACCCCUCCACAGAGCCCUAGUAGGUUUGGGAGGCAUGACUGUCUUCUACAAAAGUCAGGUGGACCCCUCUCUGGGGGACUUAUUUUUCCCCACGUUGACUAAUUUUGAUUCUUUUCACAAUUUCUACCAGUUUGUUCUCUGCAGCAGUCAGGUAUACUAGUUCCUAGUUUUCAGGGUCACCUCUAGAGCCUUUCUCACAGAUUUUCACCUUCCUUUCCCUGCCUGUGGUACUAAGGUCACUGCAAAUAACUGAUUACACAGAGACAUUACUGGAAAUUUCAUAUCUGAGUCCAUCUGGAAAUUUUGAGUGAAUACCCUCUGCUCCAAGUGUUGUACUCUUUUGACACUUCAAACCGAUGCAUUCCUGGAGACACUUUUGGUUUCAUACGGGAAGCUCCCUGUACUCCUUUACUGAAUACUGAUGUAAGUAACAUAUUUAGGUUUCCUGCAAGGGCCUUCUUUUCCAGAAAUGCUCCUUUUGCACCUCUGUCAUAUGUUGGCACCACCAGUUCGCUGGUAGCCUUCUAGAGUAACUGAACACAGUUUUAUUGUGUAUGUAAGUUCAGCAAGUCACUCUUCAAACGAUCAUUGUUUAAGUUACCUUCUCCAAGUCUACUCUCUCAUCUGUUUUUCUCCAUUAGACAUGUCAGUUUCUGAAAGAUGGCUUUUUACUCCUGAUAACCAAAUUCUCUGCCCUUCUGACAUGAGAAGUACUUUUGAAAUUUGAAAAGGCUAUUUAACGAUAUACAUUUAUACUGAACCUUUAUUUGUGCCUUUAAGCAGACUCCAUGAGGACUAGCUAGCUGCUCCUUUAUUUACUUAACCUUGCCAUUUUAAAAUAAAUUCCUGCAAAGCUUGAUGGUUUUGACUUUGUCUUUCUGAGAGGAGUUGAAUUUGAGAAUGACAAUAUCAGCACUUUACCAGUUUCUUUUCCUUACACACAGAAAGUUGGCGGCUUAGCUCUGCUGAACGUAUCUGACUGCUGAGGGGUUCUGGCAUCCAGGUAUCUCAGUCAAUGCCUUGCCUCAGCUCUCGCCCCUCAGGUAAGCUGUUACACCGUCACUCCAGAGCUACAUGGAACAGCUGCUCAUAGUAGUAAACGGACUACUGUAGCAUACAACACUGCCUUCUGUGGCAGCUGUGAAACAACAUUUUCAGGGUUAGACCACUGUAAGGUGCUGUGCAUGUGGGCUCGAGGAGGCACAGCUCUCAGCUGAAGAUGCAGACAAAAAUAUUAGCUUGAGUUUCCAACUUUUCAAGUCCUGUGAGAAACAGAGCAAUUUAAUCCUUUGGUGAAAGGCAGUGUGCUAGGCGAGAUCUUCUGAGCUUGGUACUUUCAUACCACACUCAACCUGCUAGUUGAGUAACAGUUUGGCAUUACCCGAUUUCUCCAGUGCUUACAGCAAAAUGACUUUGUAAUAAAAGCAUUCACAUUCACCUACACAGCUUCAGAUUUUGCAAGACUGUUAUGUUUCUAAUAAUGAAAAACAUGGCUUUAUUCAGAUGAUAAAGUAGCCAUAAAUAAACAGCACACAGGAGCAGGCUGACAAAUAAACUUUUUAUAUGUUAGGUAUGUAUGGUGAUGUGGUUUGUGGUGACAGCACAUUGCUCAGAAAAGCAGGUCAUAUGCUGCUUCCUAUUAUACCAAUGUCAACCUAGAGAAUUUCCAUUGUCUAUAUUUCAACCAGUUCAACUAAGAUAAAGAUCUCUACACAGGAUUUCAUAGCCUUUUUUGCCACUGUAUAAUAUUAUUAAAAAAAGAAAGUACUGUGGGGGUCAAAUUACUUUCAAUAUUGUUUCUGAUAAUAAAUGCACUGCAAAUGAUUUAGUCUCAUCCAUUAAUCAUAAGAUCGUAAGAAAAAAAGGCUGAAAUAGAUUUCAGUAAGGUAUCGAGCCCUUCUGCACUGUUAUGAAAUUUAGGCAUGUGACACGAGGCAAUGCCUACCAGAGUGACUGCCACUGGAAACCAGACACGGCAGGGUAGACGUUGCCAUUUUAGGUCUCACAAUGACAGGACUCUGCGUGGAUCAAGUCCCCUGCCCUGAAAUUAUUUGUAGUAAAAAUAAAUAAAGAUGAAAUUAUAGAAAGGAAAAUAGAGAGGAUGGGUCUGAGGGACAAGUGAAGAGGUAUUCAAAAAGCAUCAUGCCACGUGCAUUUAUACAAGAACUGCAAGAAGGAAAACAGGAAGCUGUAAGCAGAGGGGUGGGAUGGCAGAAGGGAGUCUGGGAACAUGCACGGACAGGUCUAAGCCCGGGCUUUGAUUCCCAGCCUCUUCUCCUGCCUAGCUCUGGACCUGGCUAGCUGGGGCAGAUGUGCUGGGAGCUCUCCCAGCCCUGGCCAUGGGUGCUGCCUGCCUGGGCUGGCCGGCCUCAGCACUCCUGGCCAGAUCUGUGCUCCUGCCAGUGCAGGUCUCCUCAUCUGAAGGGGAAAAUAAAGCCUGAAAGGUGGCACAAGCGGAGAGGCGCAGCAGGUGAUGCUCUCACCUGUGGGCACACACCAGCCAGAGCCCUGCACGGGUUUGCUUACCCCGCAGCCCAGAGCAGGCAACCCGAAGUGCGGGCGCACAGAGACAGAGCGACGAAAGUAGGGCAACAUCCACACACAAAGCCUGAGCGGCUUAACUUAACCUGAUGGAAAAAGGGAUUUGAAUAGCUAAAACCUGGUACGGCAAACUGAGAUCAAAAUAUAACUCUAAGGAUAUGUUUCUGGUCUGUAAGGGGACUGGUAGAGGGGAGAAAUGGUAUCUGUCUUACGCCUGUCCUGGAGGAUUUGUUUGCCCCACCCCCACGUUUUUUAAGAACACAGAGAGAUGUUAUUUUCAGUCUAAACAAUUCCUGUUUUGCAGGUAAACUCAAGAAUAAUUGGAAGUCUGGUUCCAGGUUCAGGAACAAUAUAUAUAUAUCUAUGCACAUUCAUG